rnacentral:piRNA from 1 species
AAGACUCAUGCUACUGUACUGCAGAU